GGGCACAUGGUGUAGUUGGUUUAUCACGCCCGCUUAGCAGCGUCUUAUGGGAUUUUCGAGUGCGGGAGGUGUUGGGUUCAAUUCCCAAUGUGUCCA